UUUCCCCAUUUCCAAAUCUCCUCCUCCCUACCACAGGCCAUCGAUCUUCACUCGCGACCCAGCAGAUCGACGAACGGCGCCCGCGACCCAUCUCCAUCUCUUCCGACCAACACCGUCCCAGCAAGACUCUCUUUCAGACCAGCGACCCAUUUCUCACGGAGAUCUGCAGACCACCGUUUCCCCCACCGGCCGACACCGUCCCUCGUCUAGUUCUCUCUCUCAGCAAACCGAGAUCCUCUCUCUCUCUCUGAACCAGCAGACCAAGCGCUGACGAGGAGCGCCAGAACCGACCACUGCAGAUCUCCGACUCUACGAUUCAUCCGGCACUUCUGCAACUCUGGCUGAAAAGGAGGAAGUGGAUGCUCGAUCCAUUUAUGUUGGUAAUGCACGCCAAAAUGUCAGUAAAUAGUGAUGCAUCAAGUGCGUCAAGUGUACGUCCGUUAUGUUAUUGUGGAGUUGCUGCACGUGUAAGGUAUUUUUGGACUGAUACCACUACUGCCAGAAAAGUGGUAUGACUGUGAAAAUUAUAAGAAAAAGGGUGAUUAUGAUUUUUUUGCAUGGGCUAAAAAUGAAAUGACUACAUACGAGAUGAAAAUAAUGGAACUCCUAAAAGUCCUAGACGAUAGAAGAAAGACAGAUAGUUAAUGAUUGUAAUGUGGUCACUUGGUUUUUUUUUUUCUUUGGUAGAGGAAUUUAUUUUGUGAUUGGUGAACAAAUCUAGUAAACUUGGUUGAAUGUAAUAUGACAGUUCAUUUCAUUAAACUUCUGGUUGGAUGUAGUAUGAUAGUUUA